ACUCAUGGGCAACUAUACGUUACCGUUUCAAGAGUAUGGAGUAGAAGUGGAUUAAAGAUUUGAUUAUUGAUAAAGACAGAAAUCUUUCGAAGAGUACUACCAACGUUAUGCACAAAAAAGUAUUCAAUAAUUUAUCUUAGGUUAUUAUCCAUACAACGUUUAUACAUAUAAUUACUUAUGAUUAUUUGCUAUUAUUUUUACAUUUGAUAUUGCUUUAUUAAUUACAUUUAUCUUUCAAUUUAUAGGCAUCUUUAUAAGCAUGAAUCUACAAUCAAAGAUGGUCUAC
rnacentral:lncRNA from 1 species